AAACAUUUAAGAUGUGUGUCAACGUUUUCCAGAACUUCCUGAUCGCCUUCCUCUUCAAUGUGCUUAAUAAUCACUCGCAAUUGCUCUAAUUCUGUUUCACUAGCUUGUUUUGCAUUGAGUUGUUUCUCAAGCUUAACAAUUCUCUUAUGAAGUUCCUCGUUUUGUUUCUUUAGUUCUUCUGCCAAUUUCAGUACUUUUGCAUCAACAUUCUUUUGCUCUUCAACCGCAGCACUAAGGGAUGUUUUAAGGA
rnacentral:misc_RNA from 1 species